rnacentral:rRNA from 1 species
AUGGAGCUUGCUCCUGGAUUCGCGGCGGACGGGUGAGUAAUGCCUAGGAAUCUGCCUGGUAGUGGGGGAUAACGUCCGGAAACGGGCGCUAAUACCGCAUACGUCCUGAGGGAGAAAGUGGGGGAUCUUCGGACCUCACGCUAUCAGAUGAGCCUAGGUCGGAUUAGCUAGUUGGUGGGGUAAAGGCCUACCAAGGCGACGAUCCGUAACUGGUCUGAGAGGAUGAUCAGUCACACUGGAACUGAGACACGGUCCAGACUCCUACGGGAGGCAGCAGUGGGGAAUAUUGGACAAUGGGCGAAAGCCUGAUCCAGCCAUGCCGCGUGUGUGAAGAAGGUCUUCGGAUUGUAAAGCACUUUAAGUUGGGAGGAAGGGCAGUAAGUUAAUACCUUGCUGUUUUGACGUUACCAACAGAAUAAGCACCGGCUAACUUCGUGCCAGCAGCCGCGGUAAUACGAAGGGUGCAAGCGUUAAUCGGAAUUACUGGGCGUAAAGCGCGCGUAGGUGGUUCAGCAAGUUGGAUGUGAAAUCCCCGGGCUCAACCUGGGAACUGCAUCCAAAACUACUGAGCUAGAGUACGGUAGAGGGUGGUGGAAUUUCCUGUGUAGCGGUGAAAUGCGUAGAUAUAGGAAGGAACACCAGUGGCGAAGGCGACCACCUGGACUGAUACUGACACUGAGGUGCGAAAGCGUGGGGAGCAAACAGGAUUAGAUACCCUGGUAGUCCACGCCGUAAACGAUGUCGACUAGCCGUUGGGAUCCUUGAGAUCUUAGUGGCGCAGCUAACGCGAUAAGUCGACCGCCUGGGGAGUACGGCCGCAAGGUUAAAACUCAAAUGAAUUGACGGGGGCCCGCACAAGCGGUGGAACAUGUGGUUUAAUUCGAAGCAACGCGAAGAACCUUACCUGGCCUUGACAUGCUGAGAACUUUCCAGAGAUGGAUUGGUGCCUUCGGGAACUCAGACCAGGUGCUGCUGGCUGUCGUCACUC